GCCCCUCGGAAAAUAAUAAACAAUCGAGUAAAAUGCGGCGCGGCGGCCGCGCCCCCUCCCCUGGAGCUGCCCCUCGCCCGCAGCCCUGCCGCCGGAAAAGCCUUUCCUGAAGGCGCCGCACGAAAAUUGCCUUCAGCCAGAAGCUACUGCUGCACUGAAGACCAAGUAAAGCCAUCUCUCGGCUUUCCCCGAUCCUCUUGUCUCAAAGCUAAGUUGUGCCAGGCUGCAGGUGCCCUCCAGCUACGAGCUUCGGGGCAGUGGAGAUCUGUGUACGGUGGGACGGGAAGGGACGGGCUGGGUACGUGUGUGGCAGCCAGGUGUGCCGAUCCAGUGUGCCAAAUGCCUAGAGGCAGGGCAGCGACAGGGAGACCUGGAAGCCACACCUCUGAAACCGUGUCGGUUGUCUGCAAAAAUCGUCCCCGAGGUGACUGUCCUGUCCGCAUGAUGCUGUGCAGAGAGAUUCAUCCACAGUCCUUACUUCGUUGUGCUGGUGCUUACACAGCACAGCCCUGCAAUAGCUCUCACAACCCUGCUUCCCUCUGCCUGCAAACAGAAGGCGCGCUUGUACAGCAGGGGAUUUAACCGGGGACCAGGUGACGGGAAUAAGGGCUGCAGGAAAGGAUUUACCUUCUCUCAGGCUCGCAGCCUGGCCUCUCUUUUUGACAGCAGGCGCCCAAUACGGCCUAUUUCACUUCCUCCAAAGAAUUAAUUAUUUUCUCCUGUACGUGGCCCCUGGAGGAAGAAGUCUAAGCACCUCCCUCAUGCUGUCAUCCUGUAUUUCCAGUGAUCAGAGCACUUGUUCAGGAGCUGAAGAUGUGGCUCCUGGUCCUUUUCCCAGAACUUUGUGUUUUCUUCUCUGACAGAUGUUUGAUGUAAAGUACAUAGAGCACACUUUCAAAAGUGGACUGAAAUGCAAGGCUGCUCCCCUCCCUUCCCCAUGGCAAUGUUAUUACUGCUAGGUCAUGGCCUCUCCUCGAUUGCUCCGGUGAAUCCCGAAGCCCCACCCUGUUCCCCCAAGCAGCAGUACGGGUUCAACAGGCUGUGUUAGGCUAGCCUGCCUCCCUGCUGCCAUACUCUUCGGCAAGGUCAGAGCGAGGCAUCUGAACCCCGGCGGGCAGAAGAAGGAGAAAAUGACCUCGUGUCUCCUGGUGCGAGGGGCACUGCAAGGCACACAGGGGGAAGGAAAUCUCCCCUGGGCAGUUGAGGAAGGGUUCAAAGGGGUUGGUGAAGUGUUAAGCAAAAGCAGUCAGCGGCUUAGCACAUGGUGGGGAAGUCGAUUAUAAGCAUUUGCAGCUGGUUCUCUCUCUCUCCUACCUCGGAGGAACUGGGGAACUGCUGACUCAGGAGCUGCAUCAAGUCGGAGGAAUGGGAAGGGGGUCAUGUUUCCUGAGUGCCUGUACACGCCGCAGAGCGAUGCCAGAGCGCCGGGCACCUCCUGUCCCGUCUUGGAAGAGCCAUCACAGCGGCGUGCUCUAGGAAUCCAGAGCCUGCUGCUAUGUGUUGGAUGUGCUCUGGGCAGGCUACGCAGCCGGGGCCCUGGGUCUCGUCUUGCAUGGAAACGUGUCCGAGCUACGAAUUCCAGCACUGGCUCCAGGGGGAAGACAGGCACAGAGCUGCCCAACACGGGGUGCUUGUGGAAUGACAAGCUGUGGGGCAAUCUUUGCUCUCAGGGCCUGGGCAUUUCCCUUUCACUGGUUCAGCAAGGAUCAACAAGAAGAGGCCAAGUCUGACGAGUAAACCAUGCAUGGUUUGAGCCACCUGGCAAUGAACUCUGCAGGCAUGGGUGGCAACCUUUCUGCUUUUAUCAUGAACCUGAGAGCAGUAUAACCAUCUGGCUAGUUAUAAUUUAACAGAAACCCCAUUUUUCAUCUCACUGUGGUGGUAUGCUUUCUUUUAAAUGUCAUCUGUAGAGUCUCCCAGUGAGUGGGAGCUUCAGUUUUGCUUUGUGUUUCUUACAGAUCCUGACAAAAACUAGUCCACCAGGUUACUGAAUAAGAGCCAUAUUCCUUCUUAGAGGACAAAGCACACUAAAAAGAGUUUACAGUAACUGUAAUACUUCAAUCAAAAUAUUUUUCAGUAUAUAUUUGUCAUUUAUAACCAGUAGAAUAAUUGACUGGCUCUUUUAUUAAUUUUGAAAGCUUACAUUUUCAGCAGCUUUAUUAAGCAAGUAAAUUAAUCUUCAGCUUUCCUGUAGGACUGGAGCUUGUUCAUCAUGGCUGUGCCUUCCAUCAUUUUUUGGUAAUUGAUAGUAGUAAUUUCAAAUAAGUUCAGAUAUUUUGUUAAAAAUAAACAGAGUAUGCAUAUGUCUUCUGGAUCAGCCCCUUAAUGUGACCUCUCCUGUCUGCUCAAAUUAUAGUAUCAAAACAAAAAUCUUCAGGAAAAAUUGAGCCAGUUGAAUGAAUACAUAAUCAGUAUUAAAACCAAUACCAUGUGGACUAAUUGCUGUCUUCAAUUAAAUUACACUGAGAUCCUAUAUUUUAGCCAUCUUAAAUAAAAUCCUCUUUAAAGUUCUUUCAAGCUUUUUGUCAGUUUAGGCAUGUAUUCCUAUUUUAACUUGUAUGUAUAUUUGUUAGGACUAUUGCUUGUCUGUAGAUGGCAAUAGCAUUACAGUGCUGAAGUGGCCCCCAGCCUGUGAAAUAAGGCUGAUGUUGGUGAGCAUUAACUUUGAGAAUGCAGAGAAAAAAAUCUUGCCUUUUUCUUUUCUGUUUUGUUUUUUGUUUUGUUGGGGUUUUUUAAAUGUCUGCAGCACUGGCAAUGGGGACUGUUCUACUUGCAGGAAUGUUGGGACUAAUCAUGUGAGAAAAGAUCCUGGAGUGAUGAGGCAGCGUAUUUCCCAUGUCUGAGGUCAGGAUUUUUUCUGUGAAGCUGACCUUUAAAACAGCCUGAAAAUGAGGAACGUGGCACCAGCCAGCAGAGCAGGAAGCAUGAAAUUAUAGUCCUGAGGGACAAACAAAUGGAUAUAAGCACGUACUGUAUUUGUGAGACUAGCACUGGGAUGGCUUGCAUGUUAUAAAUUGAUGUUGAAAAAUGGAUGGUGGAACAUUAGAGCCACACAAAAUGAUUCAGAGCCUGAAGAAAAUGCUUCACAAUGGGAGACAUGAAGCACUUUGUCUCUUUAGUUUAUCAAAAAAGGCCGAGCAGAGAAUUGAUUAUGAUGGUGAAGGAACUUCCUUGGAAGAAAAAUAUCAGGUACUGAAAGGCUCUUUAAUCUAGUAAAUUAUGGGAAUGUGUUUCAGCAAGCUGAAAUCAAAUACAUUCAUAUGAAAAACCGGGCACAAAUUUAUUGAAAUGAAGGUGGUUAAUCACCAUAACGAGCUGUCGGGGUAGUUGGAACAUUUUCAAGAUGUGUCCAAGCCAAGACAGGCCUGUUUCUGAAGGGUGUGCACUAACCACAGUUAUAAGUGGAAGGGACACUGCAGUCAAGUCUCAAGCAAGGUAAACAGGUGAGGUUUGAAGGACCGUGAUGUGUGACAGGCUUGACUAACAGCUCCCAAUGGAGCCGUGAAGAUCUAAUGGUUCCCAUGUGUCCUUAACCUCCGAGAGGCUGAGAAAAACAGCACUUAGCAGAAAGUGAGAGGAAGGAAUCAGAAUGACAGCCUCAUCUCUGGCACAUUCCUGUGACCUCUAUUUCUAGAAGGACUGUGUCUUUCACCUGUUUGGGGCUUUACUAAUGUUUGCUCUACUCCCAAGACAAGAACAACCUUUCUCCAGUCCACAAGCUCUCUGUACAGAUUGGCAUCAGCACCUUUAAUUUUAGGAGAGUGUGAGUAAAAAUUUGUAAUGCUCAGCAGCUCAGUGGUAGCUAGGAUAAGUAGUUUCCUUUUUCAUUUUUUUUUUGGUUUUUUUUAAUUCCAUCUUCUUAAGCUUUGGACUUGCCUGUUCUUCACGCCUCCUAGUUUCCCUUGUAUCCAUUUCCUUGUAUUGCCUUUGCCACCAGGCUCAGAGUAUUUUCCUGCAUUGAUAAUCUGUGGUGCAGGAUGUCUUGGAAGAUGCUUCCUACCUAUACUUUGACAAAAUAAAACCUGUCUUUCUUGCAGAGAUUUCACAUGGAAUGGGUAUGUCAGUGAUGUGCUGUGUAGAUAAGAGCUUGUCAGGAACUUUUUGAUAAAGUACCUUUCAUCCAGAAGUACAAAUUUGUAGCUGCUGUAGCUAUUGACAGAAACACACUGAGGUAUCUUUGCAAAAUACCUGCAGUCUGUAUCUAGAGAAGUGCUCUAAUUUUAAAAACAAGGCUCCUUUUUCAGAAAACCAGUUGGUGGUGGAGAUCAGGAAUUUCUUAUCUCCUGUUGCCUUUUUCUGGGGUCCUAUUUAUUCUCCAUCUGCCAGGGAUGGUGCAAGUAUUUUAUUCUCUCAAUCCCUAAAACAAGUUUGCUCACUUCUCCUUGUUCUAAAGGGCAGUUAUGUACAAAGUCAGAGCUGAAACAAGUAAUUUCAGACAGCAUCCCUAUCUUCAAAUUGGAGAGACAUGGACUUAAAAGGUGGACUGUUUGAUGGAUAAGGCAUUGACUGGAUGGAUGCAGCCAGAGAGUUGUGGUCAAGUCUCUAUGCCUAGGUAGAGGCUGGUGCUGAGUGGUGUCCCUUGAGGCUCUGUCUUUUUAGUCUCUUUAUUAAUGACAGUAGGACCAAGUGCACCCUCAGCAAAUUUGCAGAUGACAAAAAGCUGAGCACUGCAGUUGGCACAACAGAGGGAAGGGAUGCCAUCUAGAGGAACCUGGACAAACUGGAGAACUGGACCCACUAGAACCUCGUGGGGUUCAACAAAUGCAAGGUACUGCAGCUGGGUCAGGGCAAUCCCAGACAGUACAGAUUGGAAGAACUCAUGGAGAUUCAGCCCUGUGGAGAAGGACCUUUGGGUUCUCGUGGAUGAAAAGCUGGACAGGAGCCAA